rnacentral:lncRNA from 1 species
AUGUUUUGGAUUCUUUUAUAUUGCUUUAUCCCCCCUGCCAGAAUUGUAGCCCUCUUCUUUUUAUGUGGAGCAUGGAUCUUUGGUCUUCUUUGCAGAAAGAGUAUUUGUGGUUUCCUCUUCCCCGGGACUUCCGAAUGCUUGUGUGGAGGGAACAAAUAACUGUGAAGUUACCAGGUUAGAAACCAAGUCAUUCUCCAAAUGUAAACCCAUAUAUUUACACACCAU